rnacentral:lncRNA from 1 species
CUCAGAAGUGACCUCCUUCAGGAAGCUUCCCGGCCCUCCCCCGUCAAGGCCGAGGUGAAAGUCUGUCCUGGGUUGUGUCUCUUGUCAUCUUCAGCCCUUCUUUCAGCGAACUUCUCAUGUGUAUUGCCGACGGGGGUUUCUCUGUCACACUAGUAGACUGGUGGCCCUUAAUGGCAGCUGUGGGAGAAAGACCUGGUUUAUGGAAGGUGUUCAACAAAUAUUUGCUGAGCAAAUGCGCCAGUUUAUGUAGAGAAGAUAAAAUUCACGUGGUCUGUACUCAGAAGCCAACUGAUGAUGUUAUCUGGGGUGACAAAGAGAAAACAAGAGGCGACCGAAGAAGAAAAAAAGAUGAACCCCGCCAUAUCCUAAGACUGAGCCGCUAAUAUUGACACGGUUCUCUUCAGAUGGUUGAGGUUUCCGACCAGGACUGCUGAGUUGGUUGGGCGGAGAAGGAGAGGUGGAUCCUCCACCAUACCUCAGUUUUCAGUUCGUAUGAUGUUUUGGCUGGAAUUCUGGGUCCAUUACCAAGAGACUAAGACACACACACCUCUCCUUUGGGAACCAAGAGGUAAGAACAGCAACAACCAGCUACAGCCAGAAACUCUAUUGAGGAAAAGAGAAAGCAGAAAGAUUAAUGUGGCGAGCUCUUCCUAUGUGUUCCACGCCAGUAGGCAAUUUCUCACCUUCUCUGAUGUAUCCUCUUGACUUUUCUGAAGGUAGAAUUGCCUUAAAUCUUUACCUGUGAAGGAAAUCAGAGGCAAAGGAAUUAGGAGACUAAUCUGCAUGAAGUCAGAUAGCUAGCCAGGGAGAAGUUGAGUUGGACACAAAGUAACCACCGUCUCGAAACUCAGAUGGACCGCGUUGUAAAAGCCAAACAAUGCCCCCCCCCCAAAUAGGGGAGUCCCUGUCCUAAUACUAACACAGGAAAUGACUAGGAUGUUGAGAUAUCUCCCUUUAACUUUAUUUUACAUGUGAGGUACAAAAAAAAAGACAGAAUCUAUCAGGAAAAAUGAAUUCAGCUCCUCUAGUUGCCGCGGAGACAAACUACUUACCGACCACCUCCGAACCUUUUUCGUGGGGAACAACCACAAUGGAGAUUUCUAACUUCCGAGAAUUGUAUUCAAGGAGGAUUGGCUUCCACUCGUUCACAGUCUGGAUUUGAAAACCAAAAUUGAGGGGGGCCUCCUGUACUCAUUUCCUGGUGUUGAAAAUCUGAGUAGCAAAAACUAUUAAAAUCUUAGAGCUUUGUUUCAAGAUCCUGAAUGGAGGCAAGUUUCCGUUUCCUGAGAGGUGUGUACAUUGUGUGUGUGUGUGUGUGUGUGUGUGUGUGAGAGAGAGAGAGAGAGAGAGAGAAGAGAGAGAGAGAGACAGGGCAAGACAGAGGGCUCUCUAGAAGCUAUUUGAAAUGCCAUUCUAUAGAAUUCAACAUAAAACACGAGAGUAAAAAUUAGUUUGUUUCCAAAAGCAUUCUUUAAAUAAGAAUGAAUUCGAACCAGAAGCAAAGCAACAUUGUCCUCCCUGGAAAUACUAUCUGCACCACUCGUGAAACGUUGGUUAAACGUGGAGACACAGCUGGUGAAAAUGUCCGUAUAUUUACAGACUCAGGGCUGCUGCCUAGGCAGGGAAACACGGGGGAGCCGGGUGCUCACCUGGACUCCUGCUCUGGGAAUGGAGGCUUCAUAUGAGAGUGGGUUUAGGGUAGCUGCCGUGUGUGGGUUCAAACAAAAUCCAGAGAAUAGGGCCUGGCGUGAAGUGACACUGGAAUCAGAGAGGCGGUCUUAAGGUCGCAUUAAUUGCAGGUGGAGACGGGACGAAACUAAGCGUCGGUGGAGGGGCCAUCUACUGGAGAUGGGAGCCAGGGAAGGCAUCAGCGUGGGGGUAGAGGAUGGAGUUGUGGAGUUUCUCUGUUGUGCUGGCAAGUAAGCCCCGAGUCUGUGCCGGGCCCCCGAAGCAUUAGCCCGUGGUGGACACUUGUUGAGGUCAGCGGGGGAACUGGAGAACACCAGCCCCUUCCUUUCAUAGAAGAGGACGCCGCGAGUCGGAGGGCAGACAAGUCGUGUGAGGACACCCAGGAAGUGAGAGCUGAAACCACAGCUCCAGUGGCUUGCGGUCUUCUUGGCUGUUUUGAUAAACACAGCCACUGACUGGUACAUUGCUUUCAACCAACCUUCAUGGCUGCCCGUUAUUUUUUUAUUUCAUUAUCUGUGUUCAGUCAAUUGAUGAUAGAAAGAAGCGGGGGAUUUCAGCAGACCGUAAACUUCCCUGAAAUCAUUACCUGUACACUGAAUACUAUUUAAUGGCUAUCGGGAUAUAAUCAGUGAACUGAGGUCGGUAUCGGGUGCUGAUUAUGAACAAUAAACACGAUGAUAACUUAGUUAAUAUGCA